rnacentral:rRNA from 1 species
CCUACGGGCGGCUGCAGUGGGGAAUUUUGGACAAUGGGGGCAACCCUGAUCCAGCCAUUCCGCGUGAGUGAAGAAGGCCUUCGGGUUGUAAAGCUCUUUUGUCCGGAGCGAAACGGGCGGCCCUAAUACGGUCGUCUACUGACGGUACCGGAAGAAUAAGCACCGGCUAACUACGUGCCAGCAGCCGCGGUACUACGUAGGGUGCGAGCGUUAAUCGGGCUUGCGGGGCGGGUUUUGUGCGCCGGCUGUGAAAUCCCCGGGCUCAACCUGGGAAUGGCAUUUGGGACUGCAAGGCUGGAGUGUGGCAGAGGGGACUAGAAUUCCUGGUGUAGCAGUGAAAUGCGUAGAGAUCAGGAGGAAUACCGAUGGCGAAGGCAGGUCCCUGGGUUAACACUGACGCUCAUGCACGAAAGCGUGGGGAGCAAACAGGAUUAGAUACCCGGGUAGUC